GAACCAGAACUUUGUGUUUCCUCUCAUUUUAAAGUAUUGCUUUUUCUCAUAUUUAUGGAAUAAUUAAAAGUCCAAAAGUCAGCAUUACUUUGUUUUCUUCUCUUGCUUGAAUUAUUAGACAUUUGCAUGCUUCAACUGCCAAAGUAUAUUAAGCUCUCUGUCUAUCCCCUUUCUCUUUCUCAUUAGUAUUUUUUUUGUGUAAGCUCUUUCAUCAAUCUUCCCUUGAGUCAUAAAUUUUAAUCUUUUCUAUAUUUUAAAAUUGAAGUGAAAUGGCCAGUCCUUCUAUCUGUACUGCUUAGCUCCAGUUUCUUCUAACUCCUUCCCUGAUACCAGAGGUCUUCCAACUUCACAUUUUAUCUUUAACAAAUAAUUAUUCCCAAAGCAUUUAAUCUUCUUGCACAAAGAUUGUCAGUACACUGUUUACUUUCUUUGUAAACUCAUAUGGUAGGGAAAAAUCAACUUUACCUUUCUGAUAUAAACAUUUCUGAUAACACAAAAAAUGGUCAUUGAGGUGAGGGUGAUGGUGCUAAGGGUAAAAGUGAUGAUAAAUAAAAGCAUAGAAGAUUGAAAUAUUAUUUAAUUUGGUUAACUUGUGUUCUUAAAACUGAAUAGUGUGAAGGGCAAGUUUAUCAGAGACUGCUGUGGCUUAAGAAUCCUGUUUAUGAAGUAAAAAUAAUAAACACAGAGACACAGAGAAUCUGACUUUCCACAUACGUUACCCAGAUGUGCUUUCUGUUUUUUCUUUUGCCAGAAGUCAGCUGUCAAUAGCAUCACUGUCUGCACCUUCUGUCUUCUGUGCCUCAGGAAGAGCUAAGUUUCCUUUGGCAAUUUGCUGUCAUGAGGUCCAUCUCUAAGAAACAAAAUAUGGAGCUCCAGAGCACUGCAGAGCACAGCUAGUGCUAUUCCUUUUCAUUACUCCAAUAACUGGAAAAUCUCACAGCAGAAAACAAACAAACAAAGCAAAAUGAAAGAAAAAAAAAAAAAAGAAAGAAAGAAAAAAAAAAGAAAAAAAAAGGCAAAAAAAAAACAGACUUGCAUUUUGUGCACAUUUGGAAAAGAAGCUGAUGACAACAUCAUUAUAAGAAAGCAGUAAAGGUUAUCAGUUUGACAUUGCAUGUACUCUUUAGCAAAAACAAAUUUAGCUCAAGUAUUUGCAGAUGAGGAUUUCAGAUGGUCUCCCGAUGGAUCUUUAAUUGAGAGUUCCAGUCUCUGUUUGCACACUGAAGCAUUUCCUUUGUUUCUUCUGCAGAUCUUUUCUAGCAGUUUUCACUGCUUCCCCAUGAGGACAGAACCACAUUUGAAUGCCAGAAAUGUGGUUGGUCUUUUGUUUGUUUGUUUUGGCCGCAAUAUGCUUUCUAUUUUUUUCCUGCUCAUUCUCAGUCCCUUAUUUAAGUCUCUGAGUUUUUGACAGCAUGUCUGAGGAUUGCUGACCUUUCAAACCAGGCUUGGAUUAAAAAGAGAAUGAAGACAAUUUUAGCCCCCACCUUUAUCUCCCAUUCUACUUCUGCAUGUUGACAAAUGCCUUCUCUCUCUCCCCCUUGAUCUGUUUCUCCCACUGCUUGCCAGACUUUGUCUUUUGGCCCCCUGAAUACCUGCAGCCAGCAUGGGGACUCCCAAAGCAGGAGGCCUCCAGCACUGUGCACCACUGAUGAUUCAAGACCAUGUCCCUGGGAGUCCACUAUGAGGAGAAGGGAAGGGAACAUUCUUCUUUCCCUAGAUGUGCCUGCAGCACCACCAUUCCCUCUAGCCUCUUGUUAUAUCUAGAUUGUUAUCAUCCCUGCUUUGAAUGUGUAUGUUUUAAAAAUGAACAACAACAAAAAAAAUCCCAACACCUUUUGAAUACAGCUGUGGCACUACUUGUCCCAGGAAGCAUUCUGACCGCAGGGGCUCUUUGUACAGUUAGGUACAAUUUUUUGUACCCGUUUUCAUUUUUGUUCAGUGUUAGCUGCAAAUAAAACAUAAAAAAAAAUGAAAUGCUGAACUCAUUUACAGCAGCUUGAUGACUAUUUUUCCAUUAAUUUAACAUUCUGAAUUUCAUAACAUCAUAUAUUCCUAAAGACUCUGCUGCUGGUGACCUCCACAACACACUCACUGUGGUUGUGUGGCAAUCAUGAAUAGAGAUUUACAAUGUAUUUUCAGCAAAUAAGGUAAUGUAUAUGAUUAGAAAACAAGGUCAUGAAGUUCACCAAAGACAAAAGCAAAAGAAAAAUGUACCUUUUUUAUGAUCCAGUGUGAAAUACUGCUUCUUACAAUA